rnacentral:rRNA from 1 species
CGUUUAUAGAGUUUUUUUUUUCUCGCUCAGGACGAACGCUGGCGGCGUGCCUAAUACAUGCAAGUCGAACGCUUCUUUUUCCACCGGAGCUUGCUCCACCGGAAAAAGAAGAGUGGCGAACGGGUGAGUAACACGUGGGUAACCUGCCCAUCAGAAGGGGAUAACACUUGGAAACAGGUGCUAAUACCGUAUAACAAUCAAAACCGCAUGGUUUUGAUUUGAAAGGCGCUUUCGGGUGUCGCUGAUGGAUGGACCCGCGGUGCAUUAGCUAGUUGGUGAGGUAACGGCUCACCAAGGCCACGAUGCAUAGCCGACCUGAGAGGGUGAUCGGCCACAUUGGGACUGAGACACGGCCCAAACUCCUACGGGAGGCAGCAGUAGGGAAUCUUCGGCAAUGGACGAAAGUCUGACCGAGCAACGCCGCGUGAGUGAAGAAGGUUUUCGGAUCGUAAAACUCUGUUGUUAGAGAAGAACAAGGAUGAGAGUAACUGUUCAUCCCUUGACGGUAUCUAACCAGAAAGCCACGGCUAACUACGUGCCAGCAGCCGCGGUAAUACGUAGGUGGCAAGCGUUGUCCGGAUUUAUUGGGCGUAAAGCGAGCGCAGGCGGUUUCUUAAGUCUGAUGUGAAAGCCCCCGGCUCAACCGGGGAGGGUCAUUGGAAACUGGGAGACUUGAGUGCAGAAGAGGAGAGUGGAAUUCCAUGUGUAGCGGUGAAAUGCGUAGAUAUAUGGAGGAACACCAGUGGCGAAGGCGGCUCUCUGGUCUGUAACUGACGCUGAGGCUCGAAAGCGUGGGGAGCAAACAGGAUUAGAUACCCUGGUAGUCCACGCCGUAAACGAUGAGUGCUAAGUGUUGGAGGGUUUCCGCCCUUCAGUGCUGCAGCUAACGCAUAAGCACUCCGCCUGGAGACG